rnacentral:tRNA from 1 species
AGGGAUGUGGCUCAGCUGGUAGAGUGCUUGCUUAGCAUGCAUAAAGUCCUGGGUUCAAUUCUCAGGGGUGUGG